CAAAAGAUCCUUAAAAGUGGAAGUUGUGUGCUGCACGCAGAGCUCAUCAAGCCAAAAAAGACGUUCCAUGCCUCUGAAAAAAAAAGUGAAAGCUGAGGAUUUGAUCUCCCAAAAUUGGCAAGAGUGUCAGCAAUGGUGUUGAGGUCCCGCGAUAUGGUUUCAAUUGCAAUGUUUGGCAAUAAUUCUAGGUUUUUCUUCAUUGACAGGAACUCAUUAUUGACAUGCCAAGCAACACUAGCAUUGUAUUGUUUUAGCAGCUGAGCCACACCCAGGCAAUCACAAAAAACUCGAUCCGGUGGUGUCCAUCCAUUGUCAAAAGCAGGUCAGAAGGACAAAAUUGAUUGCAGCGAUUUCAGUUUGGAUUGGAGAGGAAGCAUUUGAGCCCGUCGAUCCUGCAGCCAGAAUAUAGUUUGUAUUAGUGAGAAUUAAGAACCCAAGACCUGCAACCAGAGAGCUAGAAGACCAAGAAGCUUCAGUAAAUAUGUGGAUGGAAUUUGAGUUUGCACAGAGGAGAGCCCGAUCCCUAAUAGAAGAUUUACAGAACUCAUAGCAGAGAGACCAAGCCCUGAUGACAAUCACACAGGGAUUAACUGGCUCAUUUCUAAAGACAGAGUUGCAUCGUUGCUUCCAAAUGAGCCAAGUAACGGUUGCAAUAAGAGCCUUCGACAGAAGAUCCAUAAUAUCCACAAGCCAAGAGCCUGUGCAAAGUGAGAUAAACCGAGAUGAGUUCAGACCAAGCUUAUUUAACAGAUCAAGCCAGCAAUGAAUAAUUUUGGAGCAUUGCUAAAUUAUGUGCUCAGUGAUUUCAGUCUCCAACCUACAAAGAGGGCAAGGAUUAUUCGGACCAAUAUUAAGAUUAUAUAAAUAGGCAUUAGUGGGGAGUUUGCCAUGAGCAAUUUUCCAGAGGUGGACUUUGAUGCGAGGCAUGACAGGAAGUCUCCAAAUUUCAUGCCACCCCCUCCAGCAAUCCUGCAGGUGAUUCGUUUGAUUGAGAUGAUUAUAGACCGAAGAGGCAAUAGUGGUGGUAUUACAGUAUUACAGUAAGGAAGGAAUGAUUAUAGACAGAAGAGGCAAUCGGCGACGUUGAGCUACCUGCGCAGCACGGGUAGCAUCAACCGAUGAUUUUCCAGAAUGCAGCAUCGAGGACAUAGAGACCUCGCUAGGAUAAAUGAACGAGAAGGGAUUCGAUCUUUAGCCGACUAUGUGCGAGGAUAAUGGAGGAACUUGUUGAAGGAGUUCAAAAGGCGAGCUAGGUACCAUUGCAAGGGGAGCACGAAGAUGGCGUGCUAUAAGGAGCUUGAGUGAAUUGCUGGAGGAGAGGAGCAUGAAUGUUUUCCUCCAUGGCUCUGCCCCUUUCUCCGGUAAAGGCUUGGAAGAGGCUGACCUUCAGUACAUAUCAAUAGAAGGUGCAGAUAUGUGUUGGACUACCUGAGAGGAACUAAGUGGCUUUGGAAGAGUGUUGAUACUUGGGAUUUUAUAUCAAUGUGUGAAAAUCAGUGACUGGUCUGUAACUGCUGGUAAAUGCUUGUAAAAAAAGUAGAAAUUUUCCUAUGAAACUGUAUAUUUCAUGAUUUAUUCUCAGGAAUGUUCUGUCACCAAAAAGCUUCCUUAUGCUCUAUAAUUAUAUGUGCUCAAUGAUUAAAAAAAGGGUGGAAUUGCACUCAAGCUUGUUGUGAAUCUUUGGGCCUCUAUGCAAACAAAUUUCAGUAGUGAUCUUGAAUUAGUGUUGUAUCUCCUGUCAUAGCAGAGUUGUUGGUCUA